rnacentral:rRNA from 1 species
UUUUUGAUAAAUAAUUUAAAGUCUAAUCUGCCCACUGAUAUAAUAUUAAAGGGCUGCAGUAUUUUGACUGUACAAAGGUAGCAUAAUCAUUAGUCUUUUAAUUGAAGACUUGUAUGAAAGAUUUGAUGAAAUAUAAACUGUCUCUAAUUUAAUUAUAGAAUUUAAUUUUUUAGUUAAAAAGCUAAAAUAUAUUUAAAAGACGAGAAGACCCUAUAGAGUUUUAUAAUUAACAAUUUAAAUUAUUUAUAUAAAAUUUUAAUAUUAUAAAUUAUUAAUUAUUGAAUUGGGGUGAUAAAAAAAUUUAUAAAACUUUUUUUAAAAUAAAACAUAGAUAAGUGAUUAAAAGAUCCAUUAAUAAUGAUUAAAAGAAAAAAUUACCUUAGGGAUAACAGCGUAAUAUUUUUUUUUAGUACAAAUAAAAAAAAAAGUUUGCGACCUCGAUGUUGGAUUAAGAUAAAAUUUAGAUGCAAAAGUUUAAAAUUUUGAUCUGUUCGAUCAUUAAAAUCUUACAUGA